rnacentral:rRNA from 1 species
GUGCCAGCAGCCGCGGUAAUACGAGAGGCCCAAACGUUAUUCGGAAUUACUGGGCUUAAAGAGUUCGUAGGCGGCGCAGAAAGUAGGGUGUGAAAGCCCUCGGCUCAACCGAGGAAUUGCGCUCUAAACUACUGUGCUUGAGGAAGCUAGAGGUGAGCGGAACUGAUGGUGGAGCGGUGAAAUGCGUUGAUAUCAUCAGGAACACCGGAGGCGAAGGCGGCUCACUGGGGCUUUUCUGACGCUGAGGAACGAAAGCCAGGGGAGCGAACGGGAUUAGAAACCCCUGUAGUCC